GAGAGGGUAGCAUUGUACGGCUCAACCACCGUGUCCGACACUUUCGGCGACGGUACAACCGAGUAGGUGUUCAUGAUACGAUCCGGAUACUCUUCGCGGAUUUUCGAGAU
rnacentral:miRNA from 1 species